rnacentral:rRNA from 1 species
CCUACGGGUGGCAGCAGUGGGGAAUAUUGGACAAUGGGGGGAACCCUGAUCCAGCCAUGCCGCGUGUGUGAAGAAGGCCCUCGGGUUGUAAAGCACUUUCAGUGAGGAAGAACGCCUGGUGGUUAAUACCCAUCAGGAAAGACAUCACUCACAGAAGAAGCACCGGCUAACUCCGUGCCAGCAGCCGCGGUAAUACGGAGGGUGCGAGCGUUAAUCGGAAUUACUGGGCGUAAAGCGCGCGUAGGUGGCUUGAUAAGCCGGUUGUGAAAGCCCCGGGCUCAACCUGGGAACGGCAUCCGGAACUGUCAAGCUAGAGUGCAGGAGAGGAAGGUAGAAUUCCCGGUGUAGCGGUGAAAUGCGUAGAGAUCAGGAGGAAUACCAGUGGCGAAGGCGGCCUUCUGGACUGACACUGACACUGAGGUGCGAAAGCGUGGGUAGCAAACAGGAUUAGAUACCCUAGUAGUC